rnacentral:lncRNA from 1 species
AAGAUCCUUCAACUAUUUUUAUGAAUUGGUAGCCUCUACCUCCAACUCAAAGAAUUACACUAAUUCUUUAGUGGGUACUAAAAUCCACAUGGACUGCAUUCGGGCCCGAGUGUGGCUCGGCUAAUCCUAGUGCAUCCAUGGGUAGGUUCAUAACUAAUUAUUUCUUCAAAUAAUUUCUACAAUUAGAUUUUAUCCCAGACAUCUCUUCAGUAGGC